UACAGAGGGGGCAAGCGUUGUUCGGAAUUACUGGGCGUAAAGGGCGCGUAGGCGGCCGCCUAAGUCAGACGUGAAAUCCCUCGGCUCAACCGGGGAACUGCGUCUGAUACUGGGUGGCUUGAAUCCGGGAGAGGGAUGCGGAAUUCCAGGUGUAGCGGUGAAAUGCGUAGAUAUCGGGAGGAACACCUAUGGCGAAGGCAGCUCGCUGGGACGUUACUGACGCUGAGACGCGAAAGCGUGGGGAGCAAACAGG
rnacentral:rRNA from 1 species